AUGGGGAACUGCUUCGGCUCCGAGGAAACCGAAUUAGAGAGGGUGAACACACCGGGCCAUCAUGGACAACUCCAACCCCAAGCAGCUUGCCAUCUUUUCCUAAUUCAGUUCUCUCUUCUCUGUCACACUGAUCUCUUGUUUGCCGCAGCAACCGAGAGCCGCAGUCUUCCACCCAUGUCUGCACCCCAUGCCAGACAGUCCCGGGGCUUGUCCAUGAGCGUCAUCACCAGCAGAAGUAGCAGUGGCACUAGCAACAUAUCAGCGGCUUUUUUGGAGCCGGAGGAGGGUAUGAUCCUGGAGGUGCCCAACCUGCGCGUUUUCACGUUCAUCGAGCUCAAGGCCGCGACCAGGAAUUUCAAGCCCAACAACCUACUUGGUGAGGGCGGGUUCGGGCGGGUUUACAAGGGCUGGGUCGACCAGAAGACGAUGAACCCCAUGAGUAGCGGCAUUGGCAGCGCCAUGGUUAUUGCCGUCAAGAAGCUCAACCCGGGGAGUAGACAGGGUCUUGAAGAAUGGCAGUGUGAGGUGAACUUUCUCGGGAGGAUGUCGCAUCCGAACCUGGUGAGGCUGCUGGGGUACUGCUUGGAGGAGAGGGAGCUCUUGCUUGUGUACGAGUUCAUGGCCAAUGGGAGCUUGGAGAAUCAUCUCUUCAGAAGGAAAAGUGAAAGAGAUGGAGAAGGCGGCUCCGUCCACCCAAUCUCAUGGGCCCUGCGGUUACGGAUCGCAAUCGGCGCGGCACGCGGCCUCGCCUUCUUGCACUCGUCAGACAAGCAUGUCAUCUACCAAGACUUCAAGUCCUCCAACAUCCUCCUCGACACGCACUACAAUGCCAAGAUAUCCGACUUCGGCCUCGUCAGGAAUGGCCCGGCCGAGGGCGACAACCAUGUCACCACCCGCAUCAUGGGCACCUACGGCUACGCCGCACCGGAGUACGUCUCGACAGGUCACCUGUACGUGAAGAGCGACGUCUACGGGUUCGGCGUGGUGCUGCUGGAGAUGCUCACCGUUCUGCGCGCGCUCGACACGGCCCGGUCGGCGCCUCAGCUCAACCUCGUGAGUUGGGCCAGACCGUACCUGGCGGACUGCCGGAGGCUGCCGCAGCUGGUAGACCCGCACCUGGAAGGGCAGUACACGUCGAGGGCCGCCCUGCGAGCCGCGCAGCUCACCAUGAGCUGCCUCGCCGGCGACCCCAAGGAUCGGCCCUCCAUGGCCGAGGUCGUCGCGGCGCUCGAGAAGAUCGAGCGCGUGCAGCCGCCGCCGCCGCUGCCGCAGCACAGGCUCGUCUCGCCUCGGGCUGCCGCGGGGACCGUGCACGGGCUCGCGCAGACGCGUAUACCUACACGGCUACACGUACAGCUGUACUGCACUGAUCUUUCAAUUUCAACGUAA
rnacentral:rRNA from 1 species